rnacentral:misc_RNA from 1 species
GUAGGUGAACCUGCGGAAGGAUCAUUAAUAAACGGCGACGCUUUCGAGCCUAGCUUUUAUAUCCUUAUACACCUGUGAACUAUUUGCCUUUGGGCACAAACUUAAACAUAAUGUAAUGAAUGUAAACUACUAUAACAAAUACAACUUUCAACAACGGAUCUCUUGGCUCUC